GUCAGGAUGGCCGAGCGGUCUAAAGCGCCAGACUCAAGUUCUGGUCCACGAAUGUGGGCAUGGGUUCGCGAAUCCUACUUCUGAUA
rnacentral:tRNA from 1 species